ensembl:lincRNA Snhg6 small nucleolar RNA host gene 6
CGUAGAGCGCGAGCAGACGGUGCAGCAUGGCGCACAGCGGAGGCCGCGGGCGGCCGAACCCGGCGUGUCCUUGGGCGUUUCCAGGUGCAACAAAACCUGUCUCAUUUGAAGGUGCUUGAACAAAUAUUUUCUAAACACUUGUCAUGGAGAGUGAUUGAAACAAGCUGCCAGGACUACAUUUGCCAAUAACAAGCAUGUAGGUGGCUGUAGUGGAUGUCCAACUUUGGGAGCUGUGAUGUCUAAAAAUCCUUUAUUGUUUUGGGUAAGUUUGCUUAAUCAGUCAUGUAUCUGGAUUCAAUACUGUUUGAUAACACUGAGGGGCUGGGGCCAGUUCGUUUUGAAGAUCAUUAGGGUGAACACCUGGGCCUAGUUUGAGAUGGAAGAAAAAUGAUUUGGGGUUUCUGACUUUUUUUUUUUUUUCCUUUUGGGAAGGUGCAGCUUACAUAUUGGAAGGUAAAAUGAAGGCCAUGAACAAAGUCAAGAAGCCAUAAACAGAAGCAAAUGGUGAAAAUUAAUAUCUAAUUUAAUAUUAAUAAGUUAUAUAAAUAAACAGUUAUUCUU